UUGAAAAGCAUCCUGGAAAUGUCGGUUGUAUAUCCGAGCAUUUUCUUGUCAGCAUUAAUAUUUGCAGCAUAUCAUAUAUACCCGCAUGGAAGGAUGUCUAAAAGCGAACAGGAAUCUACCUGGAUAGGACGCAAACCACUAUAGCAAAGCCACAAUUUCAUCCAACGCAUAACCCAUGUUCCUUUUUAGAAUGAUUGGGCAUGUAUAUGUUACCGGUACACUUAUACCGCCAAAUAAAUUAAGCGGUUCAACUGUCACAAAACCUCGUGCUUUUUUUCGUCGUCACUUUUUCACCGAGUCGAGUGUUUGGUGGUUCGGUCAAAGCUUUACCUUGCUGUUUUUUCAAUUGGGAAAAAUUUGCGAAUUUUCCUUUUUUUCUUGAAAAUCGCAUUAGCCCGCGUGGCGAAUAUACCUCUGAAUAAACAUAUUUUGCUCCAGCGGAAUUCAUCAACGAAAAACUGAUAAAAACGGGCAGAUUCCGGCGGAAAACGACUCUCUCUGAUGGUAAUGGUACAUCUACGCAUCUCUAUCAUGCUCAUCAAGUGGGGCUGAAUCUGGGAAUGUAUCCAGAAUCCCAGAGCUGAAUGCUUACAUCCGUCUGGGUUUUUCUGUUGUCUUGCGGAGCAAAUCGAACCCGACGAAGUGGUGCCUUUGUUAAUUUCUCGCAUUCAUCGAAAUGAGAGCGAGGGGAUCAGAGAUGUUUCACAAGCUAAACUUCAGAAGAUCGAACAGAGAUAUCAUUCACCCAGUAGCACGAUCAUUCACCCGUUUCGAAAACUCCAUUUAAUCACUGCACUUCACCACCUGAGGUAUGUGAAGUCCAAAAAUGUUUCACCGGCGCUAAUGAAGCGUUCACGGUGACUGUAAUUAGUAUAGACAGGAUGCAGGUUUCACGCAGCAAAUCCCAGUUGAAAUAAGCUUCCAUCAGAACUUCUUAUAAGGUGAAGAUUUACAUUUUAAUAAAGCGCGGUAUUGAAGAAUGAUGGAGACGGUAAAGCUAAAACGACCAAUUGGACAACACCUCUAUUCCUGGGUUGCAUGACUACGAUGAUCCGCCAGACGCACCUGUAUGCCGCAUUCGAGGCCGCAUUACAAAGAGAAGUCGGGCAAACUCCUGCUGGCCCUAUCCACCCGGUAUUACAAGUGGCCGGUAUAAUGCCGUACACGCCCAAUGUUCCGGUCGGGAGAGAUCAGACCCGGUGUCACCAAACUAAAAACGAUACACACUUCGUGCAGCAUCACAAGCACGCCGCAACACAUCUUUGUCCAUCUUUGAACUAGUCCAUACCAUUAUUUUAUUAAUAAUAAACAUAAAAAUGUAAA